GCAUCCUUAUAUCUUUUCAGUGCACAUUGCAAUGCAUUGCUGUUCUUGUUGCUUUACAACUAAGCUAUGAAAUUGCAUGGGUCUAUCAUACCCAGGAGAGUGUAUUGCCUGAAAUGAGCCAAGCUUGCAUUCUGUGUUCAUUCAGUGUUGGGCGGACUGCCUGGUUAAAAGAAUAAAAGAAGGCAUACAAUGCACAGCUGCACUCUGCAGGGGGCUUUCUGCUCAAACUAGAAUCUGAUAAUCCCAAAGGGAAAGGCGUUUCAUGCCUCGGCAUGAGAGGUUGGCAGUUCAGACAUGGCCAAGAAGGGACUGGCUUCUGCUGCAUUGAGAUGCCUCCAGAACAACUUAACUACAACCAAAACAAGAUCUGAUAUACCUGAAUGCUUUUUAAAACACCUUUUGCCUUGUGAAGAAGCCAGCAGAUCUUCGAAAGCUUGCUUGAUGUUUUGUGGAUUUUGGUUGGCCAACAAAGCAAAUUUCGGAAUCGUUCAUCCCGAAGGACCCAAUGAGGCAGGUCAGUUUGACCAGUAAGCUGGGCAUCCUCCAGGCGUUGGCGCAACUCUCUCAGGACAGAUAACUCCUCAUUCAAGUGCCUCUGUUUUGUUCUGGAAGCCUGAAGAUCCAGCUCCAGGUCUAGUGAUGUCCUUUCCAUAAGAUCAGCCAAAGAUGAUCUACAUGAUUGCUGAGAGGGAUUGAAAUAAAAAUAAAAAUGGG